rnacentral:lncRNA from 10 species
GGCCAAGACGGGUGGAUCACGAGGUCAGGAGUUCAAGACCAGCCUGGCCUAGAUGGUGAAACCCUGUCUCUACUAAAACUACAAAUAUUAGCUGGGCAUGGUGGCAUGCACCUGUAAUCUCAGCUACUCAGAAGUCUGAUGCAGGAGAAUUGCUAAAACCCAGGAGGGAGAGGUUGCAGUGAGCCGAGAUUGCACCACUGCACUCUAGCCUGGGCGACAGAGCAAGACUCCGUCUCGAAAGAAAGAAAGAAAGAAAGGAAAUUCCCCAGGGAAGUACCUCGGCUGAUUUCAUAAACAGGUACCGAAGGAAGCAGAGGCAUGUGGAGGACUUCCCCACCUCAUGCAGCUAUUUGGGCCAUGGCGUCUGAAAUUUAUUAUUUCAGAGUCACCCCUUUGAUGACCUUGGCAGUGAACUGCAGUCAUCUGUUUAGGCCUUUCCAUGGCCCACGUCAAUGCCGUUAUUUCUGUUUGUUGCACAUUUGAUUUCCUUGUUGUUGGCAUUUAGAAGGCCCCCUGCUUCCCAGAUCACACCACGGGCAUGGACCACAGAGAUUGCAUCUUGUGAGUCUGUAGAAAUGGUCAAGGCCUUGUCCUCUCUUAGGUCCAGAGCUCAGGUGAAUGCAGAUUUUCCCGGCCAUCUGUGCUGAAGUCCCUGUGGGGAGGCUCCUGGCUGGUUUCCUGUAGGUAGACAGCUACACGUCCUGCCCUUCAUUGGCUUCUUUUCAUGAAGCUCCUGCCAUCUACAAAACAUGUCUCCCUUCUUGAAUCACAUCUCUGUUAUUGAAACUCUAGAAGUCAACC